AGGCAUUGAGGCAGCCAGCGCAGGGGCUUCUGCUGAGGGGGCAGGCGGAGCUUGAGGAAACCGCAGAUAAGUUUUUUUCUCUUUGAAAGAUAGAGAUUAAUACAACUACUUAAAAAAUAUAGUCAAUAGGUUACUAAGAUAUUGCUUAGCGUUAAGUUUUUAACGUAAUUUUAAUAGCUUAAGAUUUUAAGAGAAAAUAUGAAGACUUAGAAGAGUAGCAUGAGGAAGGAAAAGAUAAAAGGUUUCUAAAACAUGACGGAGGUUGAGAUGAAGCUUCUUCAUGGAGUAAAAAAUG
rnacentral:lncRNA from 1 species